UAUAGAUAAAGUAAUAGAUGCACUACUCAUUAGUUGAGAAAGGCAGGUUUCGUAGCUUCGGAUUAUAUUUACAUAUAGAAAAGUAACUUAGUAAUGUCACGAACUUUUCCAACCAACAUUUUGUUAUGUGUGGCUAAAACAACUCCAAUCGAAAACAUCCUCUAAAAGGCACAAGCAGAAGACCGAAUAAUAGAAAAAUGCAAAGCAGAGCAGAGCUUAUAGCCAUUAUAGAGGCCGUAGAAACUCACGAAAAUAAAAGAGGAAAAUUCUGCAUAUGUUCAGACUCACUUUCCGCAUUUGAAGCAAUUAAAAAUCUAAACAACAGCGAUCACUACACAUCUUAGGCUCGCCACAUACUACAAAAAUUCAAUACCAAAUUUAAACUCCUUUGGAUACUAGGACUUGUUGGAAUACCAGGAAAUCAACUCGGUGAUUGCCAAGCAACAAACCAACCACUUACAACUAUUGAAAACCUUAACACACAGGACAUAUGUACAUUCGUAAAUAUUUAAAAAACGAAUACUACAAGAAAUACCUAACAAAAAUCACAAAAACAUCAACUUGGUUUCAAACAUCCAACCAAAAUCUUCUUAAGAGACUCGAACAUGCACUUCCACGACCAAACCCAACAGACAACCUGGAACACCUGUUGUCCACCUGUAUCCAUCUUAGAAACCAUAGAAGCAACAUUUUUAACAAUAUCAACCCAAUAGGGCUCCUUUUAACUUCCACACCGUCAAACAAAUUAAAUAUCCUUAAAUACAUUAAAAUCGUAUAUCUGUACUACCAAAUAUAAUGAAACAUUAACAAGAUUA